UACGUAGGGGGCUAGCGUUGUCCGGAAUCAUUGGGCGUAAAGAGCGUGUAGGCGGCUCGGUAAGUCCGCUGUGAAAGUCCAGGGCUCAACCCUGGAAUGCCAGUGGAAACUGUCGAACUAGAGUCCGGAAGAGGCGAGUGGAAUUCCUGGUGUAGCGGUGAAAUGCGCAGAUAUCAGGAGGAACACCAAUGGCGAAGGCAGCUCGCUGGGACGGUACUGACGCUGAGACGCGAAAGCGUGGGGAGCAAACAGG
rnacentral:rRNA from 1 species